rnacentral:lncRNA from 1 species
AUAGAGAUGUGGUUUCACCAUGUUGGCCAGGGUGGUCUCAAACUCCCAACUUCAAGUGAUCUGCCUGCCUUGGCCUACAGGCAUGAGCCACCAUGCCCAGCCAAAGUUUUAGCAUUUUUUGAGGCACUCAAAAGUUGAGAGCAUCAGAGUCACCAUGGGUAGCCUCAAGAAUUAUAGGUAAAUAGUGCCUUUGCUUUUUUGUGUUCGUUUCUGAAAUUUAUUUACUUUAUAGUGCCUGUUUUAAAUGAUUAAGCACAACUUGUUUUAGCUGGUUUUUAAAAAGAAAAGUAUAACUAUAAGUACUCUGAAUCCCUGAAGGAUGGCUGUAUUCUGAACCUGCCAGUGUGAAAUGGUGCAGGGUUGGACACAGGAUGGUGGACUCUUUCUCCUGCUGCCUUGCCCAGAAAGGGAACCAGCCUCCAGAGCUAUUCUUUUUCCUCUUGUCAACUCUGAACACAGCAAGUUUUGCUUGAUG